GCGCGCGCGGGGGUAGGUGGGCGUGGCUUCGCUCCCACGAGCCCCUUUCUGGAGGGCGGGGCAGGGCAGGCGCUCCCUCCUGGCGAAGGCUGCUGAGGGCGCCAGGUGCGCGCGCAGGCUCCUCUCCCCGCAACGGUCACCAGGUUGCCUUUGGGCCUCCAAGUUGGAGCCCUCGCCCCUCAGAGGCCCCACACGGAUCGGACACCUGCCAGGAAUCCUGCGGGCAAGGUUGGGAGUCGCCCCUUGGCUCAGGGUUGGCUUGUCUUCGGGCCUCCUUGCCUCCCCUCUCCUUCCGCCUUCUCACUUGAGAGCAGGACGCCACCAAGGCCUUCUUAUUCCUGAGGCACCUGGGCCUCCCCUCAGCAACGCCAGCCUUUCACACUGGCCUCUAACAGACAAGAGUUCUUUCUCCCACCCUAGACCUUCCACAAAUUAUAUAAACCUUCCUUGCUUAGUUUUCCAAUAUACCUCACAGCCUCUGAGGAUGCCUGCCACAGUUGUGGGCAAAACGUCAGGAGAGAAUGCUUCUGGAACAUGGGCAUACAGCCCAGAAAACUCUCAACAACCCUUUCAGAGAAAAGCCACGGCAAAGUGUCUGCUCCUACUGCCACUAGAUGGGUGAGAAUGAUAUCCUCCUCCAGUCUUUCUUCUUAGGCCAUCCCUCGUAGUUCAAGGACGAUGGUCCUCCGUUUCUUGGAAGACGCCUGUGCGUGAUUUUUUUUAAUGUGUGGAGGUCGGUGCACAGCCGGUCAACACACAGUCUUCACAGAUUGAGGUCCCAGCAGUGGGGUGAUUAACACAACGAGAGUGGCUUGUCAGUCUGUUGCAGCCUUCUUCCGCUUUCACAGCCGUUGUAACAUGUACCAUGUUAUCCUCCGCCUGCUCCGCCGUUGAGGUCUUUGGGUCUUCGGAUUGUUCUUGGUCUGGAUCCUCCCCUGUGGCCACUCAUGGGAGUGUGUGACUCCCGUGAUUGUGCCCACAGAUUCAUUGGAACACGCAAGCCCCCUCACUACCUCAAGGUGACAAUCCUCCUCCAGUCACCUUGUCUGUCUCCUGAGGAAUCUUUAUAACGACCAAGUAACGACAGUAUGAACACACCACAGAACAACAAGUUCAAAAUUGGGAAAGGAGUAUGGCAGGGCUGCAUACUCUCACACAUCAUGCAACAUGUGGGACUUGAUGAAUCCAAGGCUGGAGUUAAAAUUGCUUGAAGAAACAUUAACAACCUUAGAUAUACAGAUGAUACUACGCUGAUGGCUGAAAGCGAGGAGGAGCUUAGGAGCCUUAUAGCCAAGGUGAAAAAAGUAAGUGCAAAAGUUGUGUCGCAGUUAAAUAUCAAGAAAACCAAGAUUAUGGCAACCAGACAGAUUGAUAACUGGCAAAUAGAGGGAGAAAACGAGGAGGCAGUGACAGACUUUGUAUUUCUAGGCAUGAAGAUUACUGCAGACACAGACUGCAGACAGGAAAUCAGUUUACUUUUUGGGAGGAGAGCAGUGACUCAUCUUGAUAAAAUGGUUAAGGGUAGAGACAUCACACUGGUAACUGAGUGACACUUUUGGACUGUGGUGUUGGAGGAAAAUUCUGAGAGUGCCUUGGACUGCAAGAAGAUCAAACCAGUCCAUACUUUAGGAAAUAAUGCCUGACUGCUCAUGGGAGGGAAGGAUAUUAGAAGCAAAAAAUUAAAGUAUUUUGGCUACAUAAUGAGAAGACAGGAAAGCUUGGAGAAGAUAAUGUUGCUGGGGAAAAAGGAAGGAAAAAGGAAGAGGGGUCAACCAAGGGCAAGGUGGAUGGAUGGUAUCCUUGAAGUGACUGGCCUGAUCUUAAAGGAGAUGAGGUUGGCGAGGGCCAACAGGGAGCUCUGUCAUGGUCUGGUCCAUGGGGUCACAAAGAGUCGGAAGCAACUGAACAAAUAAACAACAACCAGAUGGUAUUGCACCACAGUUCCCAGCCUUCCGUUCCAUAUGUCCUUGCACUUUGCCACUCUGUUGCUGAAUACGCAUAUCCAAUAUGGAACACAUCUCACCACGUUAAAACGGUGGAUGUGGCUCUUAAUGAGACAUGGCAUAUUAUCAGUCUACGCCCUACACUGCUGGAGAAAUUAUACUGCUGGUAUUGUACCACCUGAUAUCCACUGGGAAGUUGCAGCCAGUUAUGAAAGGACCAAGGCAUUGACAUCUCCAGCCCAUCCUCUGGAUAUCAAUCAGCAUGCCAACAUCUUAAAUCAAGAAACAGCUUCCUAAGAUUUACACAGAUACUCACAGGAACAACUUAACAAACAAGUGUCCAAAAUUGGCAGGCUAAAACUUAGAACCUCAAACAAAGGCUGAUAACAACAACAAAAACAACAACAAUUUUAUUUGUCGCCCAUCCUAUCUCCCUAAGGGGACUCAGGGUGGUUUCCAACAAAGGAUGGCAAACAUCCAAUGCCAUAAAGCAAUACAAAAUGAACAGAUAGCCCCAUGACUAAAACAUCUAUAACAAGUUAUAACAACUACUCACAAAGUUUAAAUACUUAAAUAAAACAUAUACAUCUAUUGUUAUAUAAUUUAUCCACCACCAACCAGCCAGAGUAAGGUGCCAUGUUCUAGUCAAGGUUGUAAAACCUAGUAUCUUAAUCCUCUGUAAGCUAAAGAACAAAAAUAUGUUUUAAGCAGGGAGUUCCAGAUGCAGGGGGUGAUCACAGAGAAGGCCUGCUUGUUCCCAUCAACUGUACUUGAGACCGCAUGAGAACCCCCCCCCCCAUGGCACACAAGACUGGGUGACUUGGAAGGCGCUGAACAGACCGUGUUCUGGUACUACAAGAUGCAGAACCAAUCUUAAGAAAUGGGGCUACAAAGUGGAGUCUGCAACAUGCGAGUGUGGAGAAGAGCAAACCACAGACCACUUACGACAAUGCAGUCUGAGCCCUGCUACAUGCACAAUGGAGAACCUCAUUACAGCGACACCAGAGGCAUUCUUAAGUGGCCAGCCUCUGGUCAAAAGAAAUUUAGUACAAUGCCAAGUUUUUAACUUUGUGUUUUUUAAAUGCAUUAUAACUGUAUUUUUAAUUCGCUUCUGACACGAUAAAUAAAAUGCCACUGGCAAUGCUGGUUAAAGCUGCUGGAGCUUGGAUUCCAAGAACAGCAGGAAGGUCCGCCCCUCCAGUGAGCGAACUACACAAUUCACAGCAGGCUAAGGUGGGCUAAGCCUCAUUCCUAAAUCAGGGCACUUAAUUUAUUCUCUGUAGAAGGUCCAAGGCAAUUGAGUUGCUCUUCAACAUGGAAAGAAAUGACCAUGGAAAGGAAUGCCGCAGGGUGCAGUCCUUGGCCUGGUGCUGGGGCUGUUCAACGUCUUUAUUAAUUACUUAGAUGAAUGUUUAGAGGGCAUGCUUAUCAAGUUUGCAGAUGACACCAAAUCAAGAGAGAUAGCUAAUGCAAGAUCGGGGUUCAAAAUGAUCUCAAUAGAUUAGAAAGCAGAUUGGCCAAAAGUAACAAAAAAAUCAACAAGGAGAAGUGUAGCAUACUUUACUUAAGCAGAAAAAAUGAAAUGCACAGAUACAGAAUGGGUGACACCUGGCUUGACAACAGUACAUGUAAAAAAAAAACUUGGGAGCCUUCGUGGACAAGAAGUUGAACAUGAGCUAACAGUGUGAUGCAGGAGCUAAAAAGGCAAUGGGAUUUUGGGCUGCAUCAAAAGGAGUUGAGUGUCUAGACCGAGGAAGGUCAUGGUGCUUCUUUACUCUGCUUUUGUUAGACCUCACCUGGAAUACUGUCCAAUUUUGUGCACCACAAUUCAAAAGAGAUAUUGGCAAUAUUUUUUUCCAUGCAAGUUGCUUCUGGUGUGAGAGAAUUGGUCGUUUGCAGAGACAUUGCUUAGGGGAUGCCCGGAUGUUUGAUGUUUUAGCAUCCUUGAAGGAGGCUUCUCUCAUGUCCCCACACGGAGCUGGAGCUGACAGAGGGAGCUCAUCCGCACUCUCCUCGGGUUGGAUUCGAACUGGCAACCUUCAGGAGAAUUGAAUAAAUACAUUUGAACCCAGAGGCUGCUACUGAAAUUGGCAAUGGAACUUCUUAUGAUCCCCUCAAUUUUGUAAUGUGAGAAGAUGACUAACAGAACUCGGACUGGGGCCAAGAAGGCAUCAACAUAAUAAUUUACAGAUGCUGAAAAAGCUGCUCUGUGCUUUAAACCAGUGAUCUGGAAGCGAGUUCCUCAAGGCAAUAGGAAGUGGGUGACGAUAUGUGUAUGUGCACAGGCACAAUCACAUGCAGAUAGAAUCUGUCUUGGACACUUCCGCUAGGAUCUUAUCCCUUCAGUUUUCGGCAGAAAAUUCUAGCUUGUCUCGCCAGCCUCCAACAAUCACACAAACCAUAAGAUUCCAAUGCAUCAAGUGGACAUGCAGGAUUUAGUACACUGGCAGCUUAACAUAAAUCUUCUGAUUGUCAAAUAGGAAUAACAUAAAGCUUGUGAUUCUGAGGAUAAAGAAAACUGUAGUUUCACUUCGUUUUGAAGAGCAUCAAGAUGCUGAAAGAUUAUGUUUAGCAAAUAUUAUUGUUAAACACGCAACAAUGCUGUUGGAAGAAGCAGUUCUUCCUUUAGCUCAAGCUGCAAAGUUUUUUUUUUUUGCCUUUUUAAAGGGAGCAAGAUUUGCUGUUAAUGUUGCUGAUCAUUUUGAGAUGAAAUGUUUUCUCUCUUUAACUAGCUAUCUCUCUGUGGGAGCAGAGGCUCCCCUUUUUUUCCUAAAAAAUUAGAUGUAUAUUUUAAGGACGGCUGUGUUCAAAUCUUUGACCUAUAUCCAAACACUAUCAAUUGCAUUUUCAUUUUUAAGAUGGUAAGCAGAACCCUGCGGGAUCAGGUGUAUUCCCGUAGUAGCCAACCAGAUCCCCAAAAGCCCCCAAAACAAGAGUUUGGUAGUCCCCUCCUGUUUGCAUCACCAGGAAAGGCCUUGGGGGGAUGAAGUAUGUUAUUCAGCCAAAACAGAAAAAUGUAUUUGGCACUUCACAGUUGUAAAUAUCCUGUGUGCAUCAGGUGAAUAUAAUGCCAAAUAAAUAAUUUCUGUUCCCAAGACAAAAUGUGAAAAAAUAAAUACUGCUGCAAGACACUAUCUUUAGCAUCACAACGAGAACUAACCACCAACAUAAUGCACUUCACAGUAUGAAUAUUAGCUUGCUGAGAUCUUUCCAACAAGCAUGUAAAGUAAAUCUCUUUUUGCAGGCCUACCCAAUCAUUGUUAAUCGUGAAUUUUCAACACACAUCUUUUGUUCAGUAUAUUUUAAUCUAGAAAUGUUUAGUGUGCAUGUUUUGUAUGUUUACGAUGAUUAUGUGUUUUUAGCUAAGUUGUAACCUGCCUCGAAGAAUAAGAUCUAAAAUCAUAAUCAUAAUCAUAAUAAUUAUGAUUAUUAUGUUUAUGCUAUUAUCCUUAUUCUGGAGACGGAGUACUACCCAAAGGCGAGUCAAAUCAGGAUAAUUUGUAAUACUUGUAUAACAAAAACAAGUGUAGCCUGCCCUCUACUGGCUAGAAGGCAACAUUAUGUUAGAAACCUUGUCAAAGAGUCAAAGGUAAAGGUUAAGUCGUUAAGUCCUGAUGUUAAGUCCAGUCAUGUCUGACUCUGGGGGUUGGUGCUCAUCUCCAUUUCUAAGCCAAAGAGCCAGCGUUGUCCGUAGACACCUCCAAGGUCAUGUGGCCGGCAUGACUGCAUGGAGCGCCGUUAAAGAGGCCCUGCUCUCGGUCCCACCUGCCUCGCAGGCGUGGUUGGUGGGAACGAGGGACAGGGCUUUCUCGGUGGUGGCUCCCCGGCUGUGGAACACCCUCCCCACAAAUAUCCGACAAGCCCCAACUCUUCUGGGUUUCAGAAAGGCUGUGAAAACAUGGCUGUGUGCACAAGCUUUUAACAAGUAAUAUGAUAACGUCGACAUGGUCCGAUUGAAGGCUGAAGCAUGAGGUUUUUAGACAAAUGGAUCUAAUUUACAUAUGUUUUAAUUUUUAUAAUGUAUUUUAAUGAUGUAUUUUUAUAGUUUUAAUUGAUUAUAUGUACUGUUUUUGUUUUAUUAUUAUGUUCUUGGCAUUAAAUGUUGCCAACUGUUGUAAGCCGCCCUGAGUCCCCCCGGGUGUGAAGGGCAGGGUAUAAAUUCUGGAAAUAAAUAAAUAAAUAAAGAGUCAAAAGAUAA